AUUAUGGUUACUUGGUGCAAAUCCUACAGAGACUGGGCCCAUUUCUCGGAUGAUUUGCCCCAAAGCCCAUUAGUCAUAUCCACUCUUAGGGUUUCCUUUUAUAUUCCACCAGUCCUCACUUCCGUUCUCAUCGUGCAUCUUCUCUUCUUCAUCGGUAAGUUCACUCCGGCCAGGAAGUAAAUAGACUCCCCUCCGUCGUAGCUGAUUCACCAUGAGAGCCAAGUGGAAGAAGAAGCGUAUGAGGAGAUUGAAGAGGAAGCGCCGAAAGAUGAGGCAGAGAUCUAAGUAGAAUUGUACUUUGCAGUUCUUAGCUUUUGACAUAUCUCCGUCGCUCUAGGUUAUUGCGUUUUUGUCUUAUUUUCAUUGUUUGCAGUUAAAUUUCAGUAGUUACAUUGUUGCUAAUGGCACCUAAACCUAAUGUAUUUCUGUUUCUGAGGUGUAUUGAAACUCUGGGAGCCAUUUUUGGCUCAAGUUUAUGAUAUUUACUCCUUAAUUACUGAUU